UGAAGAGGCGCGCGAGCAGCGUGCUCGGUAGCCCAAGCAAAACGCAGUAGUCUCGUGCGCGGUGCAUCAAAACGAAUGGCGUUGGACAAGAGCCGCAUUUCGAUUCUCAGCUCCACCAAGGUGGAUGGCGAGAAGCUCAGCAGGGUAGGGGACACAAUGGAUUCCUUGAUCCCCGCUAGUCGUCGGCUGGAGCUGAAGAAGGAGAAGCGCUGCCCUCUCUGCUGUGUCGCGUACGGUGUCCUCAUAUCCAGCGUCGCCGUCUUCUGCAUCACGGCAUGCGGCACCGCGGUAUCCAUCUUUGCGGAAUCGCGCAUCAACUACACGGUGAAUGGUGCGAUGCGGCAGACUGCAUGGAUCGCUUUCCCUGGUAUUCUGGCGGGUGCGACGCUGCACUACUUCAUGGCGGAGGCCAUGUGGAGCAGCAAGCAUAACUCUUGGGGUCAAGCAUGGACGAAGGCGAUUAUUGCGAACGUGGGGUUGUGGACCGGGGCAAUCUGCAUCGGCACUCUGGGAUGGCGAAAGGGGCUGCCACUCAUUUCGGCAGGCCGUCGCCUCUAUCACCGCUACCCGAUCCCCUCUGAACCGCUGGAGGCACGAUUGCUGCGCUCCAGUCGUGAGUUCUUUACCGGAAUGGGCACCACGUACUGGCUAAGCGGGGUGGCAAGCGGUCACUUAGGCUUUGUUACGUGUGUUUCGUUUUGCGUGUCGGCGAAUCGGCCGUACUUCAUGAUGGCACCUCAUGGCGGAUAUGCGUACCGGUGUAUGCCGCCGUGGCGACGACAGCAGCUCCAGGCAAUGGCACUGGGCAGUGACUCGGCAGACCAGCCUACCAAGCCGCCGCCGCAGGAACAAACACGCAAGCAGCCGCCCAUCAAGUGAUUUAAGUCAUCUUUGGCGUGUUCCUCCUGCUCAAGCGCCCGAUCGAGGCGAAGGUGCACGUGCUUAUCGUGGAUGGACUUCAGCAAGCCUGUCAUGUGCGGGGUGCUCGUCUUUGUGUCUCACCGCAUGUGCAUGGGCGGCCUGGUGUGUGUACGCGUAUGUGCGUGUGCGCGUGCUCUUCUGGGAGGUAGGUCGGAAGCGUUCUUGCGACUCCGUACUCUGGGUUUGCUCAGAAGACUCUGUAAGUAGAGGUCAUAGUGAAACGGACCUGCAGGCAUCACUCGUAGAGGCAACUUGCUGGCGCGAUAUACCGAUGAAGUCGUUCCUCCCUCCCUCGCUGCUGCUCUUAUAUAUACUUCGUUCAAGCAAAGAGCGCAGAUUUCCUGUAGACCUGCGUGGUUACGUGUCUUAUCGCAUGCCACGUUGUUCACCCUGUAGCGCAUUUACUGAUACUUCACUCAUUCACCGCGCGAACCCCCUCCCUCCUGUCUCUGUUGUCCGUACACCUCUUCGCUUGUCCUCGGGUCUCCGCCGCAUGCCCAACAG
rnacentral:misc_RNA from 1 species